rnacentral:rRNA from 1 species
GGAAUUUUCCGCAAUGGGCGAAAGCCUGACGGAGCAACGCCGCGUGAGGGAUGAAGGCCUCUGGGCUGUAAACCUCUUUUAUCAAGGAAGAAGAUCUGACGGUACUUGAUGAAUAAGCCACGGCUAAUUCCGUGCCAGCAGCCGCGGUAAUACGGGAGUGGCAAGCGUUAUCCGGAAUUAUUGGGCGCAAAGCGUCCGCAGGCGGUCUGUCAAGUCUGCUGUUAAAGCGUGGAGCUUAACUCCAUUUCGGCAGUGGAAACUGACAGACUAGAGUGUGGUAGGGGCAGAGGGAAUUCCCGGUGUAGCGGUGAAAUGCGUAGAUAUCGGGAAGAACACCAGUGGCGAAGGCGCUCUGCUGGGCCAUAACUGACGCUCAUGGACGAAAGCCAGGGGAGCGAAAGGGAUUAGAUACCCCUGUAGUC